rnacentral:rRNA from 1 species
UACGGAGGGGGCAAGCGUUGUUCGGAAUUACUGGGCGUAAAGGGCGCGUAGGCGGCCUUCUAAGUCAGACGUGAAAUCCCCGGGCUCAACCCGGGAACUGCGUCUGAUACUGGAGGGCUUGAAUCCGGGAGAGGGAUGCGGAAUUCCAGGUGUAGCGGUGAAAUGCGUAGAUAUCUGGAGGAACACCGGUGGCGAAGGCAGCCCCCUGGCUGAUACUGACACUGAGGUGCGAAAGCAUGGGGAGCAAACAGG